rnacentral:rRNA from 1 species
AGAAUCAACGCUGGCGGCGUGCCUAACACAUGCAAGUCGCACGAGAAAGGGGCUUCGGCUCUGAGUAAAGUGGCGCACGGGUGAGUAACACGUGACUAAUCUACCCUCGAGUGGGGAAUAACUGAGAGAAAUCUCAGCUAAUACCGCAUAACACUUACGAGUCAAAGCAGCAAUGCGCUUGGGGAGGAGGUCGCGGCCGAUUAGCUAGUUGGCGGGGUAAUGGCCCACCAAGGCGAUGAUCGGUA